ensembl:lncRNA
ACUCAUUUAAAUAAUGCCACUUAUAUUACAGAAUCAUGAUUUUCCUGGUGCAGUAAUACAUACAAUUACUUUAUAUUUCGGCCCAUUCCGUUGAUUUUCAAAAUUAUUGAUUAAUCUAACUGGCAGGUUUCACACAGCUCCUAACAAAGGGCUAUUCAGGCAAUUGAGUCAGUAAAUGGUACUCCCUUGUUUUAAUUGUGGUUAUCUAUACUUAUUGUUGUGUAGCUGGGAAGAUUUUUUGGACAAGAUAUCAUGGAAAAGGGAUGCUUUUGUUUAGUCUUUUUCGACAGAUACAUGACCGAGGCAGCUUUGAAGCCUUUCUGGAAAAUCCUCCUUCCUUCUGUAGAAUGUUUAAUCUUCCUGUGGAGUGUCGAACUAUGAGACUUACUCUGCAGAAUUCCAUUCUUGUGCCAUACAGACGAGUAAGAACUACUCAGGUAAAUGAGACAAGAGGAGUACACCAGGAUGAAACUGGGAGAGGACCAGACUUGGAAUGCAGCAGCUGUGAAAGGACAGUAAGAGAACACAAACUGCCAGGUGUGAAUGUGAGAAGGGGGUGGUACAAUAAACACAUGGAAGUGGAAGAAGGAUGUUCU